GCGCCAAUGGUCAAGUGGUUAAGACAGCACCUCUUACGAGGUGUAAGCCUAGGUUCGAUUCCUAGUUGGUGCG
rfam:Nosema ceranae BRL01 Nc000049, whole genome shotgun sequence.